rnacentral:rRNA from 1 species
AUGGCUGCCGGGCCGGAGUUCUUGGUGCCCUUCGCGCAGCGCGAGCCGGCGCGGCCGACGGCUGUGCCCGCCCAGGUGGAGAUGGUGGAACCGGAGGAACCUGUGGAGGCCCGCUUCAUGGAGGCGUCUGACGAUGUUCGGCAAAUGGAGGCGGAGCUUGCUCGGGGCGUUCUGGUCACGGUGACUGGCAACAGGCCUAUGGUGGAUCUGGCGUCGGCGGCAGAGGCCUUGCACGCUGAGUUCGAUAUCGGCCCGAUGGACAUGUCAAUUCGGCCGUUUUUCCUGGAUGAUUUCCUCGUGUUGUGCCAAGAUGGGGCGGUCCGGGAUAGGAUGGUACGCGCAGGGCACACACGCUCCUCGUGGUUCGAGCUCAACCUCCGGCCAUGGAAUAGGCAGGCGCAGGCGACGGCGGCUUUGCUGCCUUUCCUUGUCCCGAUCGCUCUACGCGGUGUGCCUGCGCACACUUGGAGCCAGAGGACGGCCAGUGUGAUCUUGCGGGGUUUGGGAUAUGUGGUUGGUGUGGAUGAAAGUACGGCUCGGCGCCUUGACAUGGCUGAUUUCCGGGUUUGGCUUCGUACAGACCGCCCACGGCGGAUCCCUCGAUGUCGGCUGCUCUUCAUCGACGAGCCAAGGCGGAACGUCUGGGCAGAGGGGAUCGGUCACCGGGUGGCUGCGGGACGGCGAACCAAGACCCUCUGGUAUCCGAUUGAUAUCACCGUGCUUGCGGAGCCGGUGCUGGUGGACGACGGAGACGGCGACGGCCGGCGACUCCGCCUCCUCCGCCGCCACCGUCGCCAUCCUCCGGCAACGAUGAGGAUGUACCGGGUUCUGGCCUCCAUAGGCCCUGGAGGGGCUCGGCUGCUGGCGGUUCUUCGGCCAGCACGGUGGGUUCAUCCUCGUCGGUGGCGCCACCGCCGGCGGGGCGUCAGGUUCAAACUGCUUUCGAUCAGGUCCAGUCUUUGGUCAACAACAGCUGUGUUGGCGAGGUCAUUGGGUUGCGUCCACAACAGGCUUUUGGGCACGCGCCUGAUGUGGAGUGCGACCAGCCAGUUGGGGCUCGGCCCGAGGCGCCUGUGGGUCCCGUUGUUGAUCAGCCUGUCUCCCCUGCCUCGGUCCAGUUGUCGAGAUGGGUGA